CUCCAUUUCAAGAUUUUUUAGAAUCCAACCAGUUGAUUCUGGUUUUCUAUUCUGUCGUUAUACUUGAUAGUGAAAUAAAUCACUGUAUAGCGGGGGGAGGGGAAGAUUGUUGUUGCUAAAAUUCGGUAAAAUUUGAAUUUAAUGUCAGUGAAUAUUAUAACGAAAUCAGCUCAUGAAAUCCUCUCAUCAGGAUUGUUCUUAAAGUCCUGUUAUUAUGGCUCUUUUAUUAAGGUAGGGUACUUAUUUUUCUAUUUUGUAACUUUGAAUGAUAACUUUGAGUCUUUGAUUUUUGAAACUGAAUUAACGCGACAACGAAUCUAGUUCGACAUGAUAGUUUGACAUGACCUAGCAUUCCCGCGCUCAGAAGAGUUUGAGGUUUCUACCGCUAGGUGGCACGUCUAUUGUCGCUGUCUCGCAAUGAAAAAUCGUCUGCUGCUUUGCUUUCCCUCUCAAAUCGAUUUGAUGUUCCUGUUGGAUGUUCCUGAACAGAUUAAUGUGGCUGACCAUCUAACUCGGGUUCUGAUAUACAUUUAAUUGUAUUAGUUCGAUUAAUGAACAUCCAACAUGGAGAGGAAAAAUUGUGAUUUUGCAAUACCGAUAGGUGGUUAAGAAAGUUUAGUUGAGUUAGAAAUUUAGGCUGACUAGAAUUGGAACCUUAUUUCAGUAUUGAAUACUAUUGGUAGAAAUGGUUGGAGUAUGUUUCGUUACCAAGUCAAAGAUGGAUAAGCCAAGUAACGGGCAUGUUUGUUUUUACUGGACAGACAUAACCAAAUUCUGGAUGCCUGCAACCAGCAAAAAUGUGGUUGUUUUGUGAUCUCCCAUCUCCAUGCUCCACUCCAUGCUGUUUGGACUGGUAAAUAAAACUAAGAUUACCAUUAGAAUGAUUAUGGGAGCAUAAUUAGAAAAGUUAAACUUGUCACAUAUUUGUGAAAGGUCAAUUCCUGGCCAGCAUUUAUCAUAUGUAAGCUCACUGUCUAUGUAAGGCAGUUUGUUUGCUCGUUUAACCCUUUCUUUUUUGUGCAGGUUUGAGGCCCAUGUCAGCCAUCAUCACCGCAUAAUAUUCUGCUUCCGCUUGUGCUGGCAAACCUGCCAAAACCUGUCAUCAGUAACAACCUCAGCCUGACCUCUGCAUCUUCACUAAUAGAUAAAAAUCAUCUUCUUUGAUUGCAGAAACUACCGGCCGAGUUACGUCUCUCUUCUUCCCCUUUCCUUUGAAUGUCCUCGUGUAUUCCCAUGUGAGUGUGGGGGUAUUCACGAGGACACCCUUUUUCCAAUCGCCUGGUGGAUUCAACUUUCCAGCAGAUGGUUGGAGCUUGGUGUGCUGGUGGAUGGACGCAUGGUUGUAUUUUCCGGGCUUCGAGGUGAUGACAUGGUGAGAUGGAGCCAAUCAUUAUCUCCACGUCUUGAUCGCAACUUCCUGGUGAUCCGCCUCACGUCAAGAAUUUUUUCCAUUGCCUAUGCUGCGAUGCUGCCAAUCUUGCUGCAAUUCACAAGUGCUGUUUCCAGUUUUUUAUCUCCUCAGUUUGGUUUUGUCACUGCCAACCAACUGAUGUGUCAGUUUCCGCAGUAAGAAGACUUGUCUGGUGUGAAACAUGGAAAGCCUUUGCGAAUGAACUCCCCACCACUUGGAUGGAUGGACCACCUACUGCUGUAGCAUCUAGCAAAUUGUUAAAGGACGGACGACGGCACGGGUCGAGUGUGAGUGGAAGUCAACACUACUUGGUGGCCAAGAGGGAUAUUCUGUUGAAGUUUCACGAAAAGAGUGGGCAGUUUGUCGCAGCCGCCCAAAGCCCAGCCAUUAGUUUUCCGUUGAGGAUCGGAUACCUUGUAUCUUUCACCAGCCGUUGUCUGGGCUAAAGAUGCCGAGGCGAGUUCAUUCGACAACGCCUCCCAGUGGCUCUUCCUUUACCAGAUGCAAGAGAAAAUAGACUUUGCAAAUCUUUUGUCUCUAGUCCUGGGGGUCGUUUCCGGAUAGCGCAGUCGUGGUGCGGAUGUGAUGAGCAAGUCCAGGCCGUGAAUGUCAGCAUACACAAAGUGAUUUACUUUGUUGGCGAGAUCCAGACGAGUCAUCAUCACCUUAAGGAAAUUUUCUUCCGGCUUCCCGACCUCAACUCUGGAUUCCGCCCUCUGUAUUUCUCAACAUCUUGAAGACAACGAUUUUUGUGAUUGAACCUUCUACACUCCACCACCGCCGUUGUUCAGAUUGGCGAUUUUUCCGCCCAGCCCGUGCUUGUUGUCCAUGGCGUAUUCUAGCGCAGUUCGCCCGUCAUCGUCCAUCAAGUUGACAUCCACGUCUGGAUUAUUCAGGAAUAACUCGACGACCUGCACGUCUUUUGCGUUUCACUUUGAUUCGCUCUGCGCCAUCCAAUUUGCGCUUGACGUCGUUCUUGUUGCCGGAUCUCUGCAAGAUGAUGCAUUCCAGGUUCUUUUCCAAUGACCACCAAUCGUCUCCGU